rnacentral:rRNA from 1 species
GACGAACGCUGGCGGCGUGCUUAACACAUGCAAGUCGAACGGAAAGGCCCUGCUUUUGUGGGGUGCUCGAGUGGCGAACGGGUGAGUAACACGUGAGUAACCUGCCCUUGACUUUGGGAUAACUUCAGGAAACUGGGGCUAAUACCGGAUAGGAGCUCCUGCUGCAUGGUGGGGGUUGGAAAGUUUCGGCGGUUGGGGAUGGACUCGCGGCUUAUCAGCUUGUUGGUGGGGUAGUGGCUUACCAAGGCUUUGACGGGUAGCCGGCCUGAGAGGGGGACCGGCCCAAAGGGGGAUGAGGAGCAGCCCAGACUCCUACGGGAGGCAGCAGUGGGGAAUAUUGCACAAUGGGCGGAAGCCUGAUGCAGCAACGCCGCGUGCGGGAUGACGGCCGUCGGGUUGUAAACCGCUUUCGCCUGUGACGAAGCGUGAGUGACGGUAAUGGGUAAAGAAGCACCGGCUAACUACGUG